rnacentral:rRNA from 1 species
AUUGAACGCUGGCGGCAGGCCUAACACAUGCAAGUCGAGCGGAUGAAGGGAGCUUGCUCCUGGAUUCAGCGGCGGACGGGUGUGUAAUGCCUAGGAAUCUGCCUGGUAGUGGGGGGUGACGUCUGGAAACGGGCGCUAAUACCGCAUGCGUGCUGAGCGAGAAAGUGGGUGAGGUUCGGACCUCACGCUAUGAGAUGAGCCUAGGUCGGAUUAGCUAGUUGGUGGGGUAAAGGCCUACCUAGCAGACGAUCCGCAACUGGUCUGAGAGGAUGAUCAGUCACACUGGAACUGAGACAGCGACAAGACUCCUACGGGACGCCGCAGUGUGGUAUAUUAGACAGUGGGGGAAAGCAUGAUACAGUCAUGCCGAGUGUGUGGAGAAGGUGUUGGGAGUGUAAAGAACUUUUAGUUGGGAGAAAGGGCAGUAAGUUAAUACGUUGCUGGAUUGACGUUAACAGGAGAAUAAGCACCGGCUAACUACGUG